rnacentral:lncRNA from 1 species
GUGACUCUGGCAUUUCCUGGCGGCUGCAGAAGCCUCUGGGCUUCAUCCCAGGCUCAGCUACAAAGGCCCUUUGAAGUUGUCACCACCUGGUGCAGUGCUGUGAGGAGGGGGCCCCCGAGAAGAUUCUGGAACCCAGCACAGCAUGGCCUCCUGCAUAUGUAUGUCUGCAUGGAGAGGUGCAGUAACUGAGGCCACCCCACUGCUCACCCCAACGCAGCUUAGGCAUAGCCACACUGGAGAGUCAGGUCCUGCAGUUCAUGUUAACUGCUUUGGGAAUACAAGUUCAAUUUAUGUACCUAAAUGUCAAGUGCCUUAAAAUAACACGUGAGAGAGAGGAGACAUUGUGGUCACGUUCUGUCUGAGGGCGACACGUAGCUUUCUCUGCCUAUGCCUACCUAGAUCUUUUAAGAAUGGCAGCCAUGCAGAUAGAUCAGUCCUGUGAUAUUGUUGAGCGUGUGAUGUGGACCUUCUCCAGGGUGUGCUCCCUGCCCGGGGCCCAAACAGAAAGGCAGCCCCACCAGAAGGAGGCUGUGUUCUGUUUGGGAAUGUGGCGUGAGGCCACCCUGUUGUUUGUCAUCAGUGGUCCUGGUUGGUGAGGUCACCAGGAAGAGAGACCAUGACAGAGCCCUCGGUCUUGGACUCCCAGUGACGUCCUCUCCCAGUUGCUGACCAGCAUUGGGGAACUUUGGAGCGAGGAUACCCCAGCCGUAUGAGGUGCCUUAGCUCCAGGAUUGCGUAUCCUGGGUUGGGGUCUUUCCUGCAUCUGUCACCCUCCUCAGCAGAGGAAACCAAGUGACUGCAGCUGCUUCUUCCCAGGGGCUGGGGUUUGUUGCUGGCUCCGAGGGGUCUCUCCCCCACCUCGUUCUUGGUCACUGCCGUCUUCCAGCUCGUCCCCCUUUUGAGGCCAGCUGCUGUAG